UACGAAGGGGGCUAGCGUUGCUCGGAAUCACUGGGCGUAAGGGUGCGUAGGCGGGUCUUUAAGUCAGAGGUGAAAUCCUGGAGCUCAACUCCAGAACUGCCUUUGAUACUGAAGAUCUUGAGUUCGGGAGAGGUGAGUGGAACUGCGAGUGUAGAGGUGAAAUUCGUAGAUAUUCGCAAGAACACCAGUGGCGAAGGCGGCUCACUGGCCCGAUACUGACGCUGAGGCACGAAAGCGUGGGGAG
rnacentral:rRNA from 1 species